GAUGAAGAACGAAGCGAAAUGCGAUAAGUAAUGUGAAUUGCAGAAUUCAGUGAAUCAUCGAAUCUUUGAACGCACAUUGCGCCCCUUGGUAUUCCGAGGGGCAUGCCUGUUCGAGCGUCAUUAUAACCCUCAAGCUCAGCUUGGUGUUGGGGCCUGCUGCAGUGGCAGCCCUUAAAAUCAGUGGCGGCGCCAUCUGGCUCUAAGCGUAGUAAUUCUUCUCGCUAUGGAGUCCUGGUGGAUGCUUGCCAUCAACCCCCAAUUUUUCUAUGGUUGACCUCGGAUCAGGUAGGGAUACCCGCUGAACUUAAGCAUAUCAAUAAGCGGAGGA
rnacentral:misc_RNA from 1 species